rnacentral:tRNA from 1 species
GCUAGGGUGGCAGAGAUAGGAAAUUGCAUAAGACUUAAAACCUUAGUACCAGAGGUUCAAAUCCUCUCCCUAGCA